rnacentral:rRNA from 1 species
AAUCAACGCUGGCGGCGUGCCUAACACAUGCAAGUCGAGCGAGAAAGGGUAGCAAUACCUGAGUACAGCGGCGCACGGGUGAGUAACACGUGGAUAACCUGCCUCGAAGUGGGGGAUAACACCGGGAAACCGGUGCUAAUACCGCAUAAUCUGACGAGAUCUGCGGAUUUUGUCAGCAAAGGAGCAAUUCGCUUUGAGAGGGGUCCGCGGCUGAUUAGCUAGUUGGUGAGGUAACGGCUCACCAAGGCAACGAUCAGUAGCCGGUCUGAGAGGACGGUCGGCCACACUGGAACUGAGACACGGUCCAGACUCCUACGGGAGGCAGCAGUGGGGAAUUUUUGGCAAUGGGCGAAAGCCUGACCAAGCAACGCCGCGUGGAUGAUGAAGUGUCUCGGUACGUAAAAUCCUUUCGACGGGGACGAAACCGCAAGGUUGACGGUACCCGUAGAAGAAGCCCCGGCUAACUCCGUGCCAGCAGCCGCGGUAACAC